rnacentral:rRNA from 1 species
AGCAGCCGCGGUAAUUCCAGCUCCAAUAGCGUAUAUUAAAGUUGUUGCAGUUAAAAAGCUCGUAGUUGAAUUUCGGGAUCAAUAUAUCGGUCGUGCCUUGGUACGUACUGGUAUCAUUGGUUUCUCCUUUCUGACGAACCAUGAUGUCAUUAAUUUGGUGUUAUGGGAAGUCAGGACUGUUACUUUGAAAAAAUUAGAGCGUUUAAAAGCAGGCUCACGCUUGAAUACAUUAGCAUGGAAUAAUGAAAUAGGACGUUUGAUUCUAUUUUGUUGGUUUCUAGGAUCGACGUAAUGAUUAAUAGGGAUAGUUGGGGGCAUUAGUAUUCAAUUGUCAGAGGUGAAAUUCUUGGAUUUAUUGAAGACUAACUACUGCGAAAGCAUUUGCCAAGGAUGUUUUCAUUAAUCAAGAACGAAAGUUAGGGGAUCGAAGACGAUCAGAUACCGUCGUAGUCUUAACCAUAAACUAUGCCGACUAGGGAUC